UGGGGGAAUUUUGGACAAUGGGCGAAAGCCUGAUCCAGCAAUGCCGCGUGUGUGAAGAAGGCCUUCGGGUUGUAAAGCACUUUUGUCCGGAAAGAAAUCCUCUGGGUUAAUACCUCGGGGGGAUGACGGUACCGGAAGAAUAAGCACCGGCUAACUACGUGCCAGCAGCCGCGGUAAUACGUAGGGUGCAAGCGUUAAUCGGAAUUACUGGGCGUAAAGCGUGCGCAGGCGGUUUUGUAAGACGGAUGUGAAAUCCCCGGGCUUAACCUGGGAACUGCAUUCGUGACUGCAAGGCUAGAGUAUGGCAGAGGGGGGUAGAAUUCCACGUGUAGCAGUGAAAUGCGUAGAGAUGUGGAGGAAUACCGAUGGCGAAGGCAGCCCCCUGGGCCAAUACUGACGCUCAUGCACGAAAGCGUGGGGAGCAAAACAGGAUUAGAUACCCUGGUAGUCCACGCCCUAAACGAUGUCAACUAGUUGUUGGGGAUUCAUUUCCUUAGUAACGUAGCUAACGCGUG
rnacentral:rRNA from 1 species